rnacentral:rRNA from 1 species
UACGGAGGGUGCAAGCGUUAUUCGGAUUUAUUGGGCGUAAAGGGCGCGCAGGCGGCUUUUUAAGUCAGAUGUGAAAUCCCCCGGCUUAACCGGGGAAGUGCAUUUGAAACUGGGGAGCUUGAGUAUGGGAGAGGAAAUCGGAAUUCCUGGUGUAGCGGUGAAAUGCGUAGAUAUCAGGAGGAACACCGGUGGCGAAAGCGGAUUUCCGGACCAAUACUGACGCUGAGGCGCGAAGGUGCGGGGAG